UACGGAGGGUGCGAGCGUUGUCCGGAAUCACUGGGCGUAAAGGGCGCGUAGGCGGCUCGUGAAGUCAGUGGUGAAAGCCCGGGGCUCAACCCCGGGUCGGCCGUGCGAACUGUCGAGCUGGAGCACUGUAGAGGCAGGUGGAAUUCCGGGUGUAGCGGUGGAAUGCGUAGAGAUCCGGAAGAACACCGGUGGCGAAGGCGGCCUGCUGGGCAGUGGCUGACGCUGAGGCGCGACAGCGUGGGGAGCAAACAGG
rnacentral:rRNA from 1 species